rnacentral:tRNA from 1 species
ACCGAAGAAACUUUGCACAAAGUGUAACAUUGAAGAUGUUAAAAAGGAAUAACUGUCCCUUUGGUG